GGAUUUUGUUUGGCUGUGUGAGUUUGGAGCUUUGUAUAAGCUCUGAAGUAUUCUUUGCAUUUGCUUGAUUUUCAUAGAUCCGUUGUUGUGUUUCUCAGUGUCUUGCUUUGAGUCUCUGGUUCUUGUUCAUAUUUUGACCAUUGAACUUCUAAAUAUUAGCUUUGAUGUGACUUCUAAAUAUUAUUUGUUUAUUUUUAUUUUGGUUUGUGAGAUGUCAGGUUUUCGUGUCACGAAAUCUCGAUGUUAUAUCUUCUUUUUAGGUGCAUUAAUGAAACAGGUUGUUCUUAACUUGACUUAUGAAUGAUACUGUUUAAUGUGCUAUAGUUGCUUUCUUACAUCGUGUUUCUUUUUGUAUAUUUUAUCUUCCUUUAUGCAUGCAGGGUAUUCGCUGCUUAUUCUGAGUCUUGGUGUGUUAUGUAAUGAGAUNGCAUAGCAUCCAUAUGUGUCCACUAAGUGCAGAUAAUUUAAAGUCACUCCUGUUAUGUGUAAUAUUUUACAAGGCUUGUAAUACUUUUUACAUNGUCGUAUUUAUGNUGCCACGAAUCUACUUUAUUUUCACUUGAUGGUCACAAUACUCCUUGAACUCCUGAAUAAGGCCACUUUCUACGUUUCAUGUUCAAUAUUNUCUNCUAUCCAAUCUCUUUUCUUGCACUGUAAAUUAGUUUAAACUUUUUUUAAAUACAAUCCUAUAGAAGUUUAUGAAGUUGAUAAAGGUUUUGUAUAUGAGUAUACAUGAUUCAAUAAUAUGAUGGUGUA
rnacentral:lncRNA from 1 species